UCAAGUACCGUGAGGGAAAGUUGAAAAGCACUCUGAAGAGAGAGUCAAAAGACCGUGAAACCGUUCAGAGUAUAAGCCAAUGGAGCUUGGAAGGCUUCCGCAGCGGCUUGCACCAUGCGUGGUGUAUUGAAUGAUCAGAGCGCGGUUCGUCAGGCGGAGCAUUGAGUUUGCCGCUUAGCUGACGUACGGGGGGACGCGUCCGGGGGUCUGAGGCUUCGGCUGAAGAGCCCUCGGCCGUCUCCUUAAGAAUGGACGUUCAGAGCUAUUGGUCUAAUGCGGAUAUGCCCACCACAGCACGUUGUGAGGUCACCCACAGGCUCAACUGCCGAUCGCGUAUCCAGGACGAUGGCAACGAUGCGUAGUUCUGCUCGGAAACGGGUUGUCACGCGUGUCUAGUCCUGGGUCGGGCGGCGACCGAGAUAAACCUGGUAUGAUCCUCAAGCGACGAGCUGCUUUCUGGCCAGACCGACGUCCAGGCGCUUCCACUGUGCCGGAAGUGUCAAUCCCAGGCGGUUUGUUCCCUGCUGCAUUCUGCAAGGUCUCUCAGCCGGGCGUUGGUCUGAGUGG
rnacentral:rRNA from 1 species